UAGAGUUUGAUCCUGGCUCAGGAUGAACGCUGGCGGCGUGCCUAAUACAUGCAAGUCGAACGCACAGCGAAAGGUGCUUGCACCUUUCAAGUGAGUGGCGAACGGGUGAGUAACACGUGGAUAACCUACCUCAAGGUUGGGGAUAACAUUUGGAAACAGAUGCUAAUACCGAAUAAAACUUCGUAUCGCAUGAUACAAGGUUAAAAGGCGCUACGGCGUCACCUAGAGAUGGAUCCGCGGUGCAUUAGUUAGUUGGUGGGGUAAAGGCCUACCAAGACAAUGAUGCAUAGCCGAGUUGAGAGACUGAUCGGCCACAUUGGGACUGAGACACGGCCCAAACUCCUACGGGAGGCUGCAGUAGGGAAUCUUCCACAAUGGGCGAAAGCCUGAUGGAGCAACGCCGCGUGUGUGAUGAAGGCUUUCGGGUCGUAAAGCACUGUUGUAUGGGAAGAACAGCUAGAGUAGGGAAUGACUUUAGUUUGACGGUACCAUACCAGAAAGGGACGGCUAAAUACGUGCCAGCAGCCGCGGUAAUACGUAUGUCCCGAGCGUUAUCCGGAUUUAUUGGGCGUAAAGCGAGCGCAGACGGUUGAUUAAGUUUGAUGUGAAAGCCCGGAGCUCAACUCCGGAAAGGCAUUGGAAACUGGUCAACUUGAGUGCAGUAGAGGUAAGUGGAACUCCAUGUGUAGCGGUGGAAUGCGUAGAUAUAUGGAAGAACACCAGCGGCGAAGGCGGCUUACUGGACUGUAACUGACGUUGAGGCUCGAAAGUGUGGGUAGCAAACAGGAUUAGAUACCCUGGUAGUCCACACCGUAAACGAUGAACACUAGGUGUUAGGAGGUUUCCGCCUCUUAGUGCCGAAGCUAACGCAUUAAGUGUUCCGCCUGGGGAGUACGACCGCAAGGUUGAA
rnacentral:rRNA from 1 species